rnacentral:tRNA from 1 species
ACGUGGUCCCGUUUCUUUUGGCUUGGCCAAAGUUCACACAAGGGUUACCGUGGUGGAU